CAAUACAGAGUGGCAGACGGGUGCGUAACACGUGGGAACAUGCCUUUUGGUUUGGAAUAACUCAGGGAAACUUGAGCUAAUACCGGAUAAGCCCUUUGGGGGAAAGAUUUAUCGCCGAAAGAUUGGCCCGCGUCUGAUUAGCUAGUUGGUAGGGUAAUGGCCUACCAAGGCGACGAUCAGUAGCUGGUCUGAGAGGAUGAUCAGCCACACUGGGACUGAGACACGGCCCAGACUCCUACGGGAGGCAGCAGUGGGGAAUAUUGGACAAUGGGCGCAAGCCUGAUCCAGCCAUGCCGCGUGAGUGAUGACGGCCUUAGGGUUGUAAAGCUCUUUUACCUGCGAAGAUAAUGACUGUACCAGGAGAAUAAGCCCCGGCUAACUUCGUGCCAGCAGCCGC
rnacentral:rRNA from 1 species